UGUCCUAUAGUCAAAAAUGAUUAUAAAUUGCAAAUUUAUAGGUGAAUUUAAUUCUAGGUCUU
rnacentral:tRNA from 1 species